rnacentral:lncRNA from 1 species
UGAGUGGCUGGGAUUACAGGUGUGCGCCACCACCAGGGUGAUAUGUUAACAGGAUAUAGGAAAAAGGCUUCACUGUGCAAGACCUCUAAAUACCAAAACAGAGUCGAAACUGUGAAAUCUAUUUCAAUGCAUGAGAGCUCCUGUCGCUCCACAUCCUCAGCAGCACGUGGUGUUCGGUGUUCUGGAUUUUAGACAUUCUAAUAGGACUCAUUAGUUCUAACAGAUUUGUUUGUCAAUUCCUCAAGAUUUUCUACAUCUAAAAUCAUGUCAUCUGCAAAAAGAGCCCAGCUUCCCUGCUGAGGGAAGUGAGGAUAGCGUGCAAGAAGCCCCUGUCCCUGGAGAAAAGGAGAGCGGCUGGUCAAGGACACAGAUGAGGCCAUGCUUUCUGGUGCGAAGAUCCAAAGAAUAUCACGCCGUGAUUCUUCUGCUUCUCUGCAUGAAUCCCAAUCAACCAACCAAUCUCUCUCCUCCUCUCACUCACAGUAUCUUCCUACCAUUACACAGCUGGACCUGGGAUAGUCGGCUGGCCGCAAAGGCCUGGGGUGAGUGACUGAUUGAAGAAUUUG